rnacentral:rRNA from 1 species
UACGUAGGGGGCAAGCGUUGUCCGGAAUCAUUGGGCGUAAAGAGCGUGUAGGCGGCUCGGUAAGUCCGCUGUAAAAGUCAAAGGCUCAACCUUUGAAUGCCGGUGGAUACUGUCGGGCUAGAGUCCGGAAGAGGCGAGUGGAAUUCCUGGUGUAGCGGUGGAAUGCGCAGAUAUCAGGAGGAACACCGAUAGCGAAGGCAGCUCGCUGGGACGGUACUGACGCUAAGGCGCGAAAGCGUGGGGAGCAAACAGG